ACGCCUAGGUUUUCUGUCGUCCCGCCGAAAUUCCCCUGCCCCGCCGAGGGCAAUAUUGGGAUCUCUCUCUCUCCCCCUCGCAUCUCUCGCGCACGAGCAGCCGCCGCUCCUCCUUCUCCUUGGCACGAGCAGCCGCCGCUCCUCUCCACCUCCCUCUUCCUCCACACAGGAUCACGGUUUGCCCUCCCUUGUGCUAGCCUCUCACAGCCAUGAAGGGCGGCGACCUCGCCGUUGCCGUCAUCGGGAGGAGAGCGACCGACGAACCUGGAGCAUCCCCAUCGACGGGAUGAGAAGGAGGAGCGCAGGAACCUCGGGCGCCCCUCCGGCGACCAUAUCUUCUCCCUCGCCCGCCGUCGUGCCCCCGUCGGCUAUGGCCUGUCCCGUUGGGUGGAUGAAUCGCUGCUCUACCCGGAGGGGCGCCAGACCGCCGUCCUCCUGCCCGUGCGCGCCCGUGAAGAAGACAAACAGAGAUGUGCGGCCUCAGAUCCAUCGUGUGAAGGCAGUGAUGAGCGGGAUGGAUCCCAAGGGGAGAUGUGCAGUCCUCCAGAUCUGCUGGAUAAUUCCCAUUGUCUGUGUUGAGCAGCAUCCAGUCAUAUGUAGGUGUAGGAGGAGCCUUUGCGCGGGGGUGCCGGUCCCAACGAUGUGGUCAAAUAGGGCUGGAUGCUACAUUUGACACUGAGGGUGCGAGACUGGGCAGGCUGAGGAGGAUACCAGAGAGCGGUGACCUUGAGUUGGAGGGAGCAAUGAUCGUCGGUAUUGACAACAUGGUCAUUUCAUUUGAUUGGUUGGCCUGCUGACUUGCUCGCUUCUCCUCCAGUCAUGAGCUAGGCACCUCGCGCCAAGGCAGGAGUUCUCUUGCCCUCGUUCGAUCCUCUCCUAGCUAUCUAUUAUGUGUUUGUUCCUGAUUCGUUCGUUAUCCCACAACUGGAUCGGGGGGCGGUGACAUGUUCAUCGUGCACUUGUUAUCACCUUGGCUGCCUGACGGAGAUGGAAGAGGAUUUGUUAAGUUUGUUGUUCUUCAUUGCUGAUUGGUGGCUGGUGGUGCUGUUCUGCUGGGAACAACACAGGAUCUACGAUUGUUGCUCCUCUAGGUUGGUUCACCGCUGCUGGUCUGUGCAGGUUCAUGUAUAUUGGAGGUGGAGGAGCACAAUAUGAAACAUGGACAUCCCUGUCACAUCCUUCCCAAGCGGGGGGGGGGGGGGGGGGGGGGGGGGGAGGGGGGAGAGGACCGGAAGAUGGUGUCCACGAAGCAGAUCAUGCUCGACCUCUGCGGCCCAAAGCUAUGCGGGAACGCCCUCCUUGAGCUCUCCAAGGUCGUUUCCUCCUCCCCCCUCCUGCCGCGGAAAACCCCGCGCUCCCCGUCGAGGAAAUUUCGCGUUUGUAGCUAUCUGGAGGAUGCUUAAGGGUCGGAUUUGUGGUGGCGAAUUGGAGGAUCUGUAUAUGUCUUUUGGUGUCUGUUAAAGCUGCGACCUUGUGAAAGGAUCGAUAUGGUUGACUAGAAGGGGGGGGGGGUGAAUAGGCAACUAACAAUUUUUAGA